rnacentral:rRNA from 1 species
GACGAACGCUGGCGGCGUGCUUAACACAUGCAAGUCGAACGGAAAGGCCCUGCUUUUGUGGGGUGCUCGAGUGGCGAACGGGUGAGUAACACGUGAGUAACCUGCCCUUGACUUUGGGAUAACUUCAGGAAACUGGGGCUAAUACCGGAUAGGAGCUCCUGCUGCAUGGUGGGGGUUGGAAAGUUUCGGCGGUUGGGGAUGGACUCGCGGCUUAUCAGCUUGUUGGUGGGGUAGUGGCUUACCAAGGCUUUGACGGGUAGCCGGCCUGAGAGGGUGACCGGCCACAUUGGGACUGAGAUACGGCCCAGACUCCUACGGGAGGCAGCAGUGGGGAAUAUUGCACAAUGGGCUGAAGCCUGAUGCAGCGGCGCCGCGUGCGGGAUGACGGCCUUCGGGUUGUAAACCGCUUUCGCCUGUGACGAAGCGUGAGUGACGGUAAUGGGUAAAGAAGCACCGGCUAACUACGUG